GCCCAAAUGUGGGCAUGUUUUCUGACCAGGAAUUGAACUGGAUUGACACGCAGCCACUGAGUCACACCAGCCAGGCCCAAUUUGUACUUCUUAAUACCUUUAAACUCCUGGUUUGAGAGACAUGAGACUGAUCUAGACCUUAAAGCAAAGCCCGGAAAAGAUACAGCUGAGACAUAGACAAAUCACAGCACUAUGAGCAAGAAAUGUUUGUUGAUAUAAGCCACCAAGAUUUUGGAUUGUCUGUUACUGAAGAAAAAGCUAAAUGAUCCACCCAUCAUGUACUUAGAAGGAAGGAAAAACUUGAAUGUUGGUGGAUAGCCUAAAUGACUACCACAUUAUCUUUUAAGAAAAAACCAUUGUGAAUAAUGCAGAAGAUUGCCAGCUAAUAAAUAUAGAAGGAAUUAAUACCACUAGAAUCACCACUUGACAUCCUGAAAUAACUGAUUCAGCUUGUUGCCUUCACAACACCCUCUGUGCCCAGCAUUCUGGAGGAUGAGUACUCAUCUGGCUGCCCUGAAUAUAGGAAUGUGCCUCUUCCACACAGAAACCUUCAGAGGACCACAGGUGAUCAAGAUGGUAUCUGAGCCACGGUGGGUGUUGCGGGGAGAGAAUGUCUUCCGCCCAGGACCCCAGCGCGCACAUAAAGGAUCACUGGUCAGCCGAUGAAGGGAUGGGAAUCAUAAUAUGCACUGUGCACAAAAAGGCAGUUGGCAAUAAAAACAGCAGAUGACCUGGAUUAAGAAGACUUGAAUUCAGGCCUUCUUACUUCCUUUUACUACCUGUAUGGCAUCAGGUUUUAGGAUCAUCCUGAUAAGUUCUACAGAAAGAUUUUGCAUGAAGUGUAUAGGUUUAUUUGGUAA